AAGACGACAAGACCCUAUGAAGCUUCAGACACAAGACAAAACCUGCACUCACAACCCCAAAAUAAGCAAAAAGUGCAAAUAUUGCCCACGUCUUCAGUUGGGGCGACUACGGAGAAAACAAAACCCCCGCACGGACCCAGGCCAACUCCCUUAAAACAGACCCACAGGUCAAACUACAGAAUUUCUGACCACAAAGACCCGGCACAAGCCGAUUGAUGGACCAAUGUUACUCUAGGGAUAACAGCGCAAUCCCCUCCAAGAGCCCAUAUCUACAAGGGGGCUUACGACCUCGAUGUUGGAUCAGGACAUCCCGAUGGUGCAGCCGCUAUCAAAGGUUCGUUUGUUCAACGAUUAAAGUCCUACGUGAUCUGA
rnacentral:rRNA from 1 species